rnacentral:sRNA from 1 species
GCGGAGGAAAAGAAACCGACAGGGAUUGCCUCAGUAACGGCGAGUGAAGCGGCAACAGCUCAAAUUUGAAAUCUGGCCCUAGGCCCGAGUUGUAAUUUGCAGAGGAUGCUUUUGGUGCGGUGCCUUCCAAGUUCCCUAGAACGGGACGCCAGAGAGGGUGAGAGCCCCGUACAGUUGGACACCAAGCCUUUGUAAAGCUCCUUCGACGAGUCGAGUAGUUUGGGAAUGCUGCUCAAAAUGGGAGGUAUAUUUCUUCUAAAGCUAAAUACCGGCCAGAGACCGAUAGCGCACAAGUAGAGUGAUCGAAAGAUGAAAAGCACUUUGAAAAGAGGGUUAAACAGCACGUGAAAUUGUUAAAAGGGAAGCGCUUGUGACCAGACUUGCGUCCGGUGAAUCACCCAGCUCUCGCGGCUGGGGCACUUCGCCGGCUCAGGCCAGCAUCAGCUCGCUGUCGGGGACAAAAGCUUCAGGAACGUAGCUCUCUUCGGGGAGUGUUAUAGCCUGUUGCAUAAUACCCUUCGGCGGGCUGAGGUACGCGCUCCGCAAGGAUGCUGGCAUAAUGGUCAUCAGCGACCCGUCUUGAAACACGGACCAAGGAGUCAACCUUAUGUGCGAGUGUUCGGGUGUCAAACCCCUACGCGUAAUGAAAGUGAACGCAGGUGAGAGCUUCGGCGCAUCAUCGACCGAUCCUGAUGUUCUCGGAUGGAUUUGAGUAAGAGCAUAUAGGGUUGGACCCGAAAGAAGGUGAACUAUGCGUGUAUAGGGUGAAGCCAGAGGAAACUCUGGUGGAGGCUCGCAGCGGUUCUGACGUGCAAAUCGAUCGUCAAAUAUGCGCAUGGGG